GACGAACGCUGGCUGCGUGCUUAACACAUGCAAGUCGAACGGAAAGGCCCUGCUUUUGUGGUGCGCUCGAUUGGCGAACGGGUGAGUAACACGUGAGUAACCUGCCCUUGACUUUUGGAUAACUUCAGGAAACUGGGGCUAAUACCGGUUAGGAGCUCCUGCUGCAUGGUGGGGGUUGGAAAGUUUCGGCGGUUGGGGAUGGACUCGCGGCUUAUCAGCUUGUUGGUGGAGUAGUGGCUUACCAAGGCUUUGACGGGUAGCCGGCCUGAGAGGGUGACCGGGAACAGUGGGAAAGAGAUACGGCACAGAGUCGUACGGGAGGCAGCAGUGGGGAAUAUUGCACAAUGGACGGAAGCCGGAUGAAGCAACGCCGCGUGAGGGAUGACGGCCUUCGGGUUGUAAACAGCAUUCGCCUGUAACGAAGCGUGAGUGAAGGUAAUGGAUAAAGAAGCACCGGCUAACUACGUG
rnacentral:rRNA from 1 species